rnacentral:rRNA from 1 species
UACGUAGGUGGCAAGCGUUAUCCGGAAUUAUUGGGCGUAAAGCGCGCGCAGGUGGUUUCUUAAGUCUGAUGUGAAAGCCCACGGCUCAACCGUGGAGGGUCAUUGGAAACUGGGAGACUUGAGUGCAGAAGAGGAAAGUGGAAUUCCAGGUGUAGCGGUGAAAUGCGUAGAUAUCUGGAGGAACACCGGUGGCGAAGGCGGCAUCCUGGACCAACACUGACGCUGAGUGAGCGAAAGCCAGGGGAGCAAACGGG